AUUUAACGCUGGCGGAAUGCUUUACACAUGCAAGUCGAACGGCAGCACGGACUUCGGUCUGGUGGCGAGUGGCGAACGGGUGAGUAAUGUAUCGGAACGUGCCCAGUCGUGGGGGAUAACGUAGUGAAAAUUACGCUAAUACCGCAUACGAUCUAUGAAUGAAAGCGGGGGAUCGCAAGACAUCGCGCGCAUGGAGCGGCCGAUAUCAGAUUAGGUAGUUGGUGGGGUAAAGGCCCACCAAGCCAACGAUCUGUAGCUGGUCUGAGAGGACGACCAGCCACACUGGAACUGAGACACGGUCCAGACUCCUACGGGAGGCAGCAGUGGGGAAUUUUGGACAAUGGGCGAAAGCCUGAUCCAGCCAUUCCGCGUGCAGGAUGAAGGCCCUCGGGUUGUAAACUGCUUUUGUACAGAACGAAAAGGUUUCUACUAAUACUAGGAGCUCAUGACGGUACUGUAAGAAUAAGCACCGGCUAACUACGUGCCAGCCGCCGCGGUAA
rnacentral:rRNA from 1 species